rnacentral:rRNA from 1 species
CCUACGGGAGGCAGCAGUAGGGAAUCUUCGGCAAUGGACGAAAGUCUGACCGAGCAACGCCGCGUGAGUGAAGAAGGUUUUCGGAUCGUAAAACUCUGUUGUUAGAGGAGAACAAGGACGAGAGUAAAACGUUCAUCCCUUGACGGUAUCUAACCAGAAAACCACGGCUAACUACGUGCCAGCAGCCGCGGUAAU